AAUGAACGUUGGCGGCGUGGAUUAGGCAUGCAAGUCGAACGGGCCGCAAGGCCAGUGGCGGAAGGGUGAGUAAUGCGACGGUAACCAACCCCGGAAAUGGGUAUAGCCGCGGGAAACUGCGGGUAAUCCCCAGCGACGUGUCGGGUCGGCAUCGACCUGACACCAAAGCCCCGGCGUUCCGGGACGGGCCGUUGUGGUAUUAGCUAGUUGGCGGGGUAACGGCCCACCAAGGCUGCGAUGCCUACCGGGCGUGCGAGCGUGGCCCGGCACACUGGGACUGAGACACUGCCCAGACUCCUACGGGAGGCUGCAGUCGAGAAUCUUCGGCAAUGGGCGCAAGCCUGACCGAGCGACGCCGCGUGGAGGACGAAGGCCUUCGGGUUGUAAACUCCUGUCGAGGGGGAGGAAGGCGCAAGCUUGACCGAUCCCUGGAGGAAGCACGGGCUAAGUUCGUGCCAGCCGCCGCGGUAAGAC
rnacentral:rRNA from 1 species